rnacentral:lncRNA from 1 species
UACAAUCAACCAUUCCUUUGAAUUUCCUGCGUCCAUUCCCUACAAUAGCCAAAUUGCUUUCUUGGGUUUGUAACUGUUAACGCUAGCAAGAGACAGAUCAAGAAGAUGUUUUAUUAAGCUGCAGCAGUGGCUAUUAAAUAGCCUUACACCGUGACAAAGGAAAAUAACAAACUCACGAUUUUACAGGAUGCAAUCGUGGUUAACAAAGGGAAAGAAACGUGUUCCUCAAACCAGAGAGGAAUUAUUCAACAUAACUAAAAAUAAUCCUAAGACUCAGGAAACAAUCUGGAAUAUUUCAACAUUUUAUCA